rnacentral:rRNA from 1 species
CUCUCGGAGUGACGGGUACACUGUGGGGACCGCCGCUGCUAAAGCGGAGGAAGGAAUGGGCAACGGUAGGUCAGUAUGCCCCGAAUAUCCCGGGCUACACGCGAGCUACAAUGGUUGGUACAAUGGGUAUCUACCCCGAAAGGGGACGGGAAUCUCCUAAACCAAUCUUAGUUCGGAUUGAGGGCUGCAACUCGCCCUCAUGAAGCUGGAAUCCGUAGUAAUCGCGUUUCAACAGAACGCGGUGAAUACGUCCCUGCUCCUU